rnacentral:tRNA from 1 species
AUUUAUAUAGUUUUAAAAAAAACAUUUCAUUUUCAAUGAAAAAAAAACUUAAGUUUAUAAAUU